GAUGAAGAACGCAGCGAAAUGCGAUAAGUAGUGUGAAUUGCAGAAUUCAGUGAAUCAUCGAAUCUUUGAACGCACAUUGCGCCCUUUGGUAUUCCUUAGGGCAUGCCUGUUCGAGCGUCAUUUAAACCUUCAAGCUAAGCUUGGUGUUGGGUGACUGUCCGCUUCACUGCGGACUCGCCUCAAAAUUAUUGGCGGCCGGUACAUUGGCUUCGAGCGCAGCAGAAACGCGAACUCGGGCCCGUCGUAUUGGCUCCCAGAAGCUAUCUUCACAAUUUUGACCUCGGAUCAGGUAAGGAUACCCGCUGAACUUAAGCAUAUCAAUAAGCGGAGGA
rnacentral:misc_RNA from 1 species